GAGUACGAUGUUCAGAAUUGUCGGCUGUUCAGAGGAAGUUCGUGUAAAAAUGUGUAGUAAACAUCAAUACAAGGUACUACUGUAGUACAAGUUUCUGCAAAACACAACUGAAAAUAUAUGAAAGAAUGUUAAAAGUAGAAAGAAAGGGAAGGAGAAUAGUAUAGUGGUGACUGGAUUUUCUUUGAGGUUUCCACUUCCUUGUCGGAAGCAAACGAGAGAGGAGAGAAAUAGAGGAAAGUAGAGAUACAGCAAAGAUGAAAAUGAAUAGAAUAGAAUAGUACUUUUGUAUUCAAGAGCAGGCACCUCACGACUCUCUAUUCUUUGCUAAGAAA
rnacentral:lncRNA from 1 species